rnacentral:lncRNA from 1 species
UCCAAACUCGUUGAACUUCUCUCUAUGCCUAAUGUGUCAUUCAAUUGAGCAUAUGUUAUAUACUUGUUGCAUGCAUUUUAGGGUAAAGUGAUGAUAAAAAUGUGAUGUUGCAUGAUUGUGAGUACAACUUGCUUAAUGUGAUGGUCGAGGACCUUAUGAAUGUUAAAACCCUAUAUGUAUGCAUGAGAGAAAAUGUGAGUACCAAAGUGAGCCAAAAGAACCGAGUGGCACGAUGACAUAGAUCGAGUGGCAUUUGAAAAUGUAAAGUGACAC